CCGUACACAAAAGCGCAUGUGCUGUGAGCUCGAUGAGUAGGGCGGGACACGUGGUAUCCUGUCUGAAUAUGGGGGGACCAUCCUCCAAGGCUAAAUACUCCUGACUGACCGAUAGUGAACCAGUACCGUGAGGGAAAGGCGAAAAGAACCCCGGCGAGGGGAGUGAAAAAGAACCUGAAACCGUGUACGUACAAGCAGUGGGAGCACAGGUUUACCUGUGUGACUGCGUACCUUUUGUAUAAUGGGUCAGCGACUUAUAUUCUGUAGCAAGGUUAACCGUAUAGGGGAGCCGGAGGGAAACCGAGUCUUAAUUGGGCGUUAAGUUGCAGGGUAUAGACCCGAAACCCGGUGAUCUAGCCAUGGGCAGGUUGAAGGUUGGGUAACACUAACUGGAGGACCGAACCGACUAAUGUUGAAAAAUUAGCGGAUGACCUGUGGCUGGGGGUGAAAGGCCAAUCAAACCGGGAGAUAGCUGGUUCUCCCCGAAAGCUAUUUAGGUAGCGCCUCGUGAAUUCAUCUCCGGGGGUAGAGCACUGUUUCGGCUAGGGGGCCAUCCCGGCUUACCAACCCGAUGCAAACUGCGAAUACCGGAGAAUGUUAUCACGGGAGACACACGGCGGGUGCUAACGUCCGUCGUGAAGAGGGAAACAACCCAGACCGCCAGCUAAGGUCCCAAAGUCAUGGUUAAGUGGGAAACGAUGUGGGAAGGCCCAGACAGCCAGGAUGUUGGCUUAGAAGCAGCCAUCAUUUAAAGAAAGCGUAAUAGCUCACUGGUCGAGUCGGCCUGCGCGGAAGAUGUAACGGGGCUAAACCAUGCACCGAAGCUGCGGCAGCGAACGUAUCACCCAAGACAACUUUACGGAGUUGACGAUUGACGGAGCGAAGCGACGUCAAAGCGUUCAUUAAAGUCGAGUUGGCUUAGGGAUACGUUCGUUGGGUAGGGGAGCGUUCUGUAAGCCUGUGAAGGUGUGUCGUGAGGCAUGCUGGAGGUAUCAGAAGUGCGAAUGCUGACAUAAGUAACGAUAAAGCGGGUGAAAAGCCCGCUCGCCGGAAGACCAAGGGUUCCUGUCCAACGUUAAUCGGGGCAGGGUGAGUCGACCCCUAAGGCGAGGCCGAAAGGCGUAGUCGAUGGGAAACGGGUUAAUAUUCCCGUACUUGGUGUUACUGCGAAGGGGGGACGGAGAAGGCUAUGUUGGCCGGGCGACGGUUGUCCCGGUUUAAGCGUGUAGGUGUGUGUUCCAGGUAAAUCCGGUUCACUUUAACACUGAGGCGUGACGACGAGGCACUAC
rnacentral:rRNA from 1 species